UGCAGGGACAUCGUUGUCAGGGACGUCACAGUGGGCACUGUCACCUGCAGCGCUCCAGCCCCAGGAAUCGCAUCCAGCCCUCCACCGGACAUGCUCCACUGGGUCUGUGUCUCUCCUGACCUGAGGACUCCACAUCUGGAUGCAGUACUCCAGGGGAGGUCUCACCAAUGCAGAGCAGAGGGGCAGGAUCACCUCCCUCUCCCAGCUGACCACGCUUCUUUUGAAUCAUCCAGGAUACAGCUGUAGCUGGCCAUCUAAUCCCUCAUGGAGAGAAGCUGCCUGUUCUAUUUGCUCCAAGCCAGCGUCUGUGAGCUAAAAGAGGUGGUGAACAGUGCAUAUUAAGGGAUUUAUAACAGCUUCUGCACUGGUGAAGCCCUACAGAUAUUUCAGAGCUCAUCCUCAGCCCCUGUCAGGUAUAUGGUGGGCUCCAGCAGCAUGGGAAGCCUCCAGGCCCAGCAGAGGUCAGACCUCCCCCAUGCGCAGUGCUGACAAAGGCAUUGAUGGCAACACGGAGACUUUCCUGUGAUUUUAUUGCUUUCCUCCAUCUGACAC